CUUUGACGUUAGCGGCGGACGGGUGAGUAACACGUGGGUAACCUACCUAUAAGACUGGGAUAACUUCGGGAAACCGGAGCUAAUACCGGAUAAUAUUUCGAACCGCAUGGUUCGAUAGUGAAAGAUGGUUUUGCUAUCACUUAUAGAUGGACCCGCGCCGUAUUAGCUAGUUGGUAAGGUAACGGCUUACCAAGGCGACGAUACGUAGCCGACCUGAGAGGGUGAUCGGCCACACUGGAACUGAGACACGGUCCAGACUCCUACGGGAGGCAGCAGGG
rnacentral:rRNA from 1 species